rnacentral:lncRNA from 1 species
GUCCCUUCCAGGUGGCAGAGGAGAGGGAAGGGUCGCGCCUGGUGGGGGCCUGAGAGCCACCGGGCUGCGGUGCGCGAGUGUGGACACCGCCCCGCCUUCUGCGUCUACAGCCCUGGGUUCUGGGACCUUUGGAAACCGCUUUGGACGAAGCUGAGCAUCUCUUUCCCCACGCUGACCUCCCCCAUAGACUCCGGAUGGGAGUAAAUGAGGCUCCUGGGAAAUCCAGAAACUCUAGAGAAGCUUGUUUGCCAAACCUUGCUUUGGGCGGUGGAGACAGAAUAUCAUGUCCCAGAUCAGCGUGUGGUGACUGUGGAGGCAUUUACACACAGCACACUCCAGCUCUGCCACUGGGCCGGCUGAGGUGGCUGCGGUACACGGCGCCCAUCCUGAGCCCCAGGUUCCUCACAUGUCAACAGCAUGAAAAGUGCCUCUAAGACAUCCACAGGUGUGCAGUGUUAAAGCAGGCAGCGCCUCAGCUUGGUUAGCUCCCUUAAGGACUGCGGCUCCCUUAGGACAAGGCUCUGUCCCUCAGAGCACUGAGUGCGAUCUCAUGCUGGCAUCUUAGAGACAUUGUAUUCACCAGGGAAGGAGGCAGACAGUAAACAAAACAAGCAAGUCAAUAUACAGCAUGAUGCAGAAAAGGUGUGAUGCCACCCUCUUGCCUGAGUUUAUAACAAGCAGAUGAUGUUGUCCUAAGAAUUAAUUUCAGCCGGUGAAAGAGUACAGGCAAAAAACGUGGUCUCGGACUUUCCGGUGAUGCUUAAGAACAUAGUUGCAGUUUUUGUUCUGAUUCUUUGUGCAUCUCGCGCUAAUGAAGGAUUCUGCCAUGAUUGCCACCUCUGGAGACGUCACAGCCAGCACAGCCAUGACCAGGGAUGAACUUGGCCAUUGUCCAGCAGCACCAUGGGAGGACCAGCUGCUGUAAGUGAAGGUCAUCAUCCAUCUGAUUUGCUGGCUUUUUGCAACUACUGCGGUGGAAGUCUUAGAGUAGCCACCUUCUCUGUACUCAGACCUUCACUUCGCCAGAUGUCAGCACAGCAGUGUCAGCAGCUUCGUCAAACACAAACACCACCACCUCUCUGGAUCAGAAGCACAUGGAAAGCCCACCUUGCAAGAAGACCCAGCUAUUCCAAAAGUACCCAUAUCCCUGUAGCAUCCUCUUAGCUGAAUGUCUCUACUCCUUAAACUUGUACCACUUUGAAGAGUAAAAAUUUAAAUUCAUUCAUA